UCCCUGAUAGCUCAGUUGGUAAAAGAAUCUGUCUGCAAUGCAGGAGACCUAGGUUUGAUUCCUGGUUUGGGAA
rnacentral:tRNA from 1 species